AGCAGUCAGGACCUAUGAAUAGUGUUUUGACUAACAAAACCUAUUACCUUAGGUGUCUUGAAGGCAAGUAGGAACAAAACCAGAAGGCCAAGGCAUUGUCUUCUACAGGCCAAAAUGUUAAAAUUCAGCCCAGGCAUAGUGAUGUGAACAGUUGUGUGGUUAAAACUUAUAACAAAAUCAUUUGGAUUGGAAAGGACUUUUUAAAAUAUUAUCUAAUCUAUGGGCAGGAAAACCUUCCACUAGAUCAAACUCUGUCAAACCUAAGUUGGAAAGUUUCCAAAGAAGGGGAAUCCAUAAUUUCUCUGGGUAGCAUAUUCCAGAGUCUCUCCACCACCGUUGAGAGAAAUAUCUUCAUCAUAUCCAACUGAAAUCUCUCUGAUGGAGGAUGGAGAAGAAUUGCUACAAGGAGAACUUUACAUGCAAAUGCUGAGGAGGGAACAAAAUGCAGAUGGCUUCAUUGUAUGAAUUCUUUGUGGUGGCAUGAAAUUGAAUUACCUAUUUUCAACUUAUCACACAAUUUUUCAGAACCUCCUUUAAGACUGUCAGUGCAUCUUUCUGCAUUUCUGUCUAGAGUCAGAUACUUCUCUGUGAAAACAUAAUCUGAACUGGAAAUGAGCAAGAAAAGAAUGAUAGUGCAAUUGAAUUUAUGGAAAUCUGAUGUCCUUAUAAACGGAAGCAUGACACCUCAUUUGCAUCAUCUUCAACUUGGAAAUAUCGUGCUUUGGAUCCUAAAAUUUUAAUGAACCAUUUGAUCAAUAACAAAUAAUAGGCAAAAUAAAUCUUUCUUUGUCCUACAGAAUGCUAU